GUGAUAGAUGAACUACUAGAUGAAUUACAUGGUGCACAGUGGUUUACAAAGCUGGAUCUCAGGGCUGGUUACCAUCAAAUAAGGCUAGCUCCUGGUAAAGAAUAUAAAACAGCAUUCCAAAUCCAUCAUGGGCAUUUUGAAUUUCUAGUUGUGGGUUUUGGUUUGACAGGAGCUCCAAACACUUUUCAAGGGGCCAUAAAUGUAUCUCUGUCUGAACAACCUGAUAUGCUCAGAAAUUUUGCGAUAGCCUUCUUUGAUGACAUCCUUGUUUUCAGCAAGACCUUGCAACAACAUAUAGAGCAUGUCAGAAGAGUUUUGCAAGUUUUGAGAAGGGACAAAUGGUAUGUGAAACUUUCCAAGUGUGAAUUUGCUUCU
rnacentral:rRNA from 1 species